UGAGGAAUAUUGGUCAAUGGACGGAAGUCUGAACCAGCCAAGUAGCGUGCAGGACGACGGCCCUAUGGGUUGUAAACUGCUUUUGUAUGGGGAUAAAGUUAGGGACGUGUCCCUAUUUGCAGGUACCAUACGAAUAAGGACCGGCUAAUUCCGUGCCAGCAGCCGCGGUAAUACGGAAGGUCCAGGCGUUAUCCGGAUUUAUUGGGUUUAAAGGGAGCGUAGGCUGGAGAUUAAGUGUGUUGCGAAAUGUAGACGCUCAACGUCUGACUUGCAGCGCAUACUGGUUUCCUUGAGUACGCACAACGUUGGCGGAAUUCGUCGUGUAGCGGUGAAAUGCUUAGAUAUGACGAAGAACUCCGAUUGCGAAGGCAGCUGACGGGAGCGCAACUGACGCUUAAGCUCGAAGGUGCGGGUAUCAAACAGGAUUAGAUACCCUGGUAGUCCGCACAGUAAACGAUGGAUGCCCGCUGUUGGUACCUGGUAUCAGCGGCUAAGCGAAAGCAUUAAGCAUCCCACCUGGGGAGUACGCCGGCAACGGUG
rnacentral:rRNA from 1 species